rnacentral:rRNA from 1 species
CACGAAAGCGUGGGGAGCAAACAGGAUUAGAUAGCCUGGUAGUCCACGCCCUAAACGAUGUCAACUAGUUGUUGGUAGAGUAAAAUCUAUGAGUAACGCAGCUAACGCGUGAAGUUGACCGCCUGGGGAGUACGAUCGCAAGAUUAAAACUCAAAUGAAUUGACGGGGGCCCGCACAAGCGGUGGAUUAUGUGGAUUAAUUCGAUGCAACGCGAAAAACCUUACCUGGCCUUGACAUGUACCGAAUUUGGGAGAGAUUCCUUAGUGCUCGAAAGAGAACGGUAACACAGGUGCUGCAUGGCUGUCGUCAGCUCGUGUCGUGAGAUGUUGGGUUAAGUCCCGCAACGAGCGCAACCCUUGCCAAUAAUUGCCAUCAUUUAGUUGGGCACUUUAUUGGGACUGCCGAUGACAAAUCGGAGGAAGGUGGGGAUGACGUCAAGUCCUCAUGGCCCUUAUGGCCAGGGCUUCACACGUAAUACAAUGGUCGGUACAGAGAGUUGCCAACCCGUAAGGGGGAGCUAAUCUCAGAAAGCCGAUCGUAGUCCGGAUUGAGGUCUGCAACUCGACCUCAUGAAGUCGGAAUCGCUAGUAAUCGCGGAUCAGCAUGUCGCGGUGAAUACGUUCCCGGGCCUUGUACACACCGCCCGUCACACCAUGGGAGUGGGUUUUACCAGAAGUAGUUAGUCUAACCGUAAGGGG